UGCAAGUCGAGCGGCAGCGGGAAGUAGCUUGCUACUUUGCCGGCGAGCGGCGGACGGGUGAGUAAUGUCUGGGAAACUGCCUGAUGGAGGGGGAUAACUACUGGAAACGGUAGCUAAUACCGCAUGACCUCGAAAGAGCAAAGUGGGGGAUCUUCGGACCUCACGCCAUCGGAUGUGCCCAGAUGGGAUUAGCUAGUAGGUGAGGUAAUGGCUCACCUAGGCGACGAUCCCUAGCUGGUCUGAGAGGAUGACCAGCCACACUGGAACUGAGACACGGUCCAGACUCCUACGGGAGGCAGCAGUGGGGAAUAUUGCACAAUGGGCGCAAGCCUGAUGCAGCCAUGCCGCGUGUGUGAAGAAGGCCUUAGGGUUGUAAAGCACUUUCAGCGAGGAGGAAGGCAUCACACUUAAUACGUGUGGUGAUUGACGUUACUCGCAGAAGAAGCACCGGCUAACUCCGUGCCAGCAGCCGCGGUAAUACGGAGGGUGCAAGCGUUAAUCGGAAUUACUGGGCGUAAAGCGCACGCAGGCGGUUUGUUAAGUCAGA
rnacentral:rRNA from 1 species